GAACCGUGCGAACGUUGUUCGGAUUCACUGGGCUUAAAGGGCGCGUAGGCGGCUUGCCAAGUCAGGGGUGAAAUCUUCCAGCUCAACUGGAAAAGUGCCCUUGAUACUGGCAGGCUUGAGGGAGGUAGGGGCACGUGGAACUUCCAGUGGAGCGGUGAAAUGCGUUGAUAUUGGAAGGAACGCCGGUGGCGAAAGCGACGUGCUGGCCCUCUUCUGACGCUGAGGCGCGAAAGCUAGGGGAGCGAACGGGGGAUUAGAUACCCCGGUAGUCCUAGCCCUAAACGAUGGGUACUAGGUAGUGGACUUAACAUGGGUUCACUGCCCGAAGCAAAAGUGUUAAGUACCCCGCCUGGGGAGUAUGGUCGCAAGGCUG
rnacentral:rRNA from 1 species